UGGGCAAUCUGCCCUUCACUCUGGGACAAGCCCUGGAAACGGGGUCUAAUACCGGAUAACACUCUGUCCCGCAUGGGACGGGGUUAAAAGCUCCGGCGGUGAAGGAUGAGCCCGCGGCCUAUCAGCUUGUUGGUGGGGUAAUGGCCUACCAAGGCGACGACGGGUAGCCGGCCUGAGAGGGCGACCGGCCACACUGGGACUGAGACACGGCCCAGACUCCUACGGGAGGCAGCAGUGGGGAAUAUUGCACAAUGGGCGAAAGCCUGAUGCAGCGACGCCGCGUGAGGGAUGACGGCCUUCGGGUUGUAAACCUCUUUCAGCAGGGAAGAAGCGAAAGUGACGGUACCUGCAGAAGAAGCGCCGGCUAACUACGUGCCAGCAGCCGCGGUAAUACGUAGGGCGCAAGCGUUGUCCGGAAUUAUUGGGCGUAAAGAGCUCGUAGGCGGCUUGUCACGUCGGAUGUGAAAGCCCGGGGCUUAACCCCGGGUCUGCAUUCGAUACGGGCUAGCUAGAGUGUGGUAGGGGAGAUCGGAAUUCCUGGUGUAGCGGUGAAAUGCGCAGAUAUCAGGAGGAACACCGGUGGCGAA
rnacentral:rRNA from 1 species